UACAGAGGGUGCAAGCGUUAAUCGGAAUUACUGGGCGUAAAGCGUGCGUAGUCGGUUAUUUAAGUCGGGUGUGAAAGCCCCGGGCUCAACCUGGGAAUUGCAUUCGAUACUGGAUAGCUAGAGUUCGGCAGAGGGAAGCGGAAUUUCCGGCGUAGCGGUGAAAUGCGUAGAUAUCGGAAGGAACAUCAGUGGCGAAAGCGGCUUCCUGGACCAGAACUGACGAUCAGGCACGAAAGCGUGGGGAGCAAACAGG
rnacentral:rRNA from 1 species